AAAACAUUUCUAUUAGAAAUAAUUAAUAGUAAAAUCUGCUCAAUGAAAAUUUUAAUAGCCGCAUUUGUGCUAAGGUAGCAUAAUAAUUUGUCUUUUAAUUAAAGACUAGAACAAAAGAUUUAACAUCUUAAUUUAUUUCUUAAAUUUAUAUAUUUAAAUUAUUUUAAAUGUAAAAAAACAUUUAUUCGUUAGAAAGACGAUAAGACCCUAUUGAACUUCACUUCAGUUUAACUGGGGUAGUUAAUAAAUUAUUAUUUUUAUUUAAAAAAAAAUCUACAAAUUAGACCUAAUAUAAUUAACAAAAUAAACAAGUUACCAUAGGGAUAACAGCGUAAUAAAAUUUUUAAGAUCUUAUUUAAAAAAAAGAUUGCGACCUCGAUGUUGAUUUAAUUAUCCUAA
rnacentral:rRNA from 1 species